AUGGCGAUGGCGAUGCGACGCGCGGCGGCGCUCGGCGCCCGCCACAUCCUGGCCGCCUCCGCCUCCGCCUCCUCCCGCGCCGCCAGCCGCCGCCACAUGGGCAGCCUGGACGCGGGCGCGGCGAUGGAGAAGAUCCGGGCGGCGGGGCUCCUCAGGACGCGCGGCCUCAUCGGCGGCCAGUGGGUCGACGCCUACGACGGGAAGACCAUCGAGGUGCAAAAUCCAGCAACUGGCGAGGUCCUAGCAAAUGUAGCCUGCAUGGGCAACAGAGAAACAGCUGAUGCAAUAACUUCUGCUAACACGACAUUUUACACUUGGAGCAAACUCACUGCAAGUGAAAGGAGCAAGGCACUAAGAAAAUGGCAUGACCUACUUAUGUCACACAAGGAAGAACUUGCACUUCUUAUGACACUGGAACAGGGGAAGCCUAUGAAAGAAGCCCUUGGGGAGGUGAACUAUGGUGCAAGUUUCAUAGAAUUUUUUGCUGAGGAAGCAAAGCGUGUGUAUGGUGAUAUUAUUCCCCCUACUCUAGCUGACCGCAGACUAUUGGUUCUGAAGCAGCCUAUUGGGGUAGUUGGAGCUAUUACACCAUGGAAUUUUCCUUUAGCAAUGAUAACCAGAAAGGUUGGACCAGCAUUGGCUUGUGGAUGCACUGUUGUUGUCAAGCCAUCAGAGUUCACACCUCUGACAGCAUUAGCUGCAGCAGACCUUGCUCUUCAAGCUGGAAUACCAGCUGGUGCACUAAAUGUUGUGAUGGGUAAUGCUCCUGAGAUAGGUGAUGAACUAAUGCAGAGCACACAGGUCAGAAAGAUUACGUUCACGGGUUCAACAGCUGUUGGCAAAAAACUGAUGGCUGGAUCAGCAAACACUGUGAAAAAGGUUUCUUUGGAGCUCGGUGGGAAUGCGCCUUGCAUUGUUUUCGAUGAUGCAGAUAUUGAUGUUGCCGUUAAAGGCAGUCUUGCUGCCAAGUUUCGGAACAGCGGACAGACGUGUGUAUGUGCAAACAGGAUAUUGGUGCAAGAAGGUAUCUACGAAAAAUUCGCAAGUGCAUUUGUCAAGGCUGUUCAGAGUUUGCAAGUCGGUAAUGGGCUAGAAGAGAGUACAUCACAGGGUCCUCUAAUCAAUGAAGCUGCUGUUGAAAAGGUAGAGAAGUUUGUAGGUGAUGCUACUUCAAAGGGAGCCAACAUCAUGCUCGGUGGUAAAAGGCACAGCCUUGGGAUGAGCUUUUAUGAGCCAACUGUGGUAGGGAAUGUAAGCAAUGAUAUGCUUCUUUUCAGGGAAGAAGUUUUUGGUCCAGUUGCACCACUUAUACCAUUCAAAACUGAGGAGGAAGCAAUCCAUUUAGCAAACGACACCAAUGCAGGCUUAGCCGCAUACAUGUUUACAAAGAGCAUUGCGCGGUCGUGGCGUGUUUCCGGAGCUCUUGAAUACGGGCUUGUCGGUGUGAACGAGGGAUUGAUUUCAACAGAGGUAGCGCCAUUCGGUGGGGUUAAGCAGUCUGGGCUUGGGCGAGAAGGAUCAAAAUACGGCAUGGACGACUACCUGGAGAUUAAGUAUGUAUGCAUGGGCAACCUGGGUUGA
rnacentral:rRNA from 1 species